rnacentral:rRNA from 1 species
CAGCAGCCGCGGUAAUACGUAGGGUGCAAGCGUUAAUCGGAAUUACUGGGCGUGAAGCGUGCGCAGGCGGUUUGUUAAGACAGAUGUGAAAUCCCCGGGCUCAACCUGGGAACUGCAUUUGUGACUGGCAAGCUAGAGUGUGGCAGAGGGGGGUAGAAUUCCAGGUGUAGCGGUGAAAUGCGUAGAGAUCGGGAGGAACAUCAGUGGCGAAGGCGGCCAUCUGGGACAACACUGACGCUGAGGCACGAAAGCGUGGGGAGCAAACAGGAUUAGAUACCCCAGUAGUCCCUGUCUCUUAUAC